rnacentral:lncRNA from 1 species
GAGAAUGCAGCUGGGGAUUUGUCGAAUGCAGAGUCCGAAGAAUACGCAGCAACUUUCUCGGUGUUCUAAAAUGUUUAAAGACAGGAGAUCGAAUUUUAUUCCACUUCUUAGGAAACUAUGAUGUAUUAUAGCUGUGUUUUUUCAAUCUGCGUGAGAAUUCUCUAGCCAUUCUCUCUUCCUUAAAUUUUCUUGAGAUUUAAUCUCUAUCCUAGUAAAUACUUUGGUCCUGCAACUCUCCAGCAAAUAUGUUCAUGCAGCUAAUUUAUGUUCAGCUAAAAGAAUUGAAUCGCCCACAUUAGCUGGCUCGGUGCUUGUACUUUGUACAAGUUUAAAUUGCUCGAUCAAGUUUCUCGAGAACCAUAGAAAAUGGUUAAAAAGUCCAGGGGCUAAUUUCUUAAUAUUAUGAAAGUUUCAUGGAGAAAAGCUUUACAAAAAAUUUUCUGUCAUCACUAGUCGACCAAUCGAAAAGUUGUGCCUCUACAAAGUUUUUGGCAUUUAGCUUAACAGUAAUUAGUUCGUAUUAAAUGAUCUAUUGCUUUGAGCGUCGUAUCAACCGUAGGAAAAUUGGGAUCCAAGACUUCCCUCCCGUUUACACUUUUCUGGUUCCAAACGUAGGCAGAGCAUGCAUCCAUGUGGCACAAUUCCUACAUUUCAAGAUUCAUCUUGUACAUUCUUUUCCAAGGUCGACUGAUGAGGCCCUAAUGUUAUAGAAAUUCAUAAAAUUUUAACCAAAAUUUGGAUCAAAUGAAAGUCAUCUAGUAAUAAUUAAUAUGUAGUAAGGAAAUUAGAUCAAGCAGACCUUAAUUUAAUAAUUAAAAUUAAAAUAAUAAGAAUUAGAAAUCCUGAAUUCAAAUCUCUCUUUUCCUCCCCUUCUCAAAUUUGACCUUUCCUUUGCUUAAAAAAAAUGUAAUAAGAAAACUAGUAAGCAAUCAUAUCAUGGGGUUAUGCACUUUGUACGAAUCGCUCAAUCCUUUAAUAUUUAUAACCACAAUAUCACAUUUUUUUUAUAUACAUAAAAGUUUAGAUGGUUCCACUCUAAUUAGCACCACGAAUCAUAGAUCAAGAUAUAUUUCUGAAAUUAUAAAUCGUUUACAAAUCGUUUAUUAAUACAGUCAUCACACAUACUUUUAUAAAGAAAAAUAAUCUGUCCUUACUAGUUGCACCAACUCAAUCGGCACCAGAAUACCGCAUCACUAUUCACUACUUGGCCAGACGGGAUCCUCUGUCCAUUAUUUUCUGUCCACUUUCCUGUCCAAUAUAAAACUAUGUAGUUCCACUUAAUAUAUCUACUGAUGUGGCACAUAAAAAAGAAAGACUUUUUGACUACCUUACACCAGAAAGAAAAAAAAUUGUUUUGUUGAAGAACUUCUUUCAAUCUUCUAGGCAGAAAACAGUGGCAACAGGUUUUGGGAAUUGUAACCGUAGCAAUAGGGUUUUGGGAAUUGUAAUAAAGUUGUGUAAACAAAAGAAACCCAGAAAAGAAAAAAGAAGAAGAAGCAUAAGGCAGUCAAACAGCCUUUCUUUUUUAUGUGCUAUAUCAGCAGAUAUAUUAAGUGAAACUACGUAAUUCUCUGCAUUGGACAUAAAAAUAAAUAUAAAAUAUUGGAUCGAGAAUCCAGCCUAAGUGUGAAGUCUACUGGCACGCGUAGCGUAACUUUACCAACAAAACAACUGCCCCAUUCGACAACAAGCAUCCGUGCGAGACCGCUGAAAAUGGAGGCACAAGACCGUGGCUGACCAAAACCCCGAGAAAUUCUAGAACUGAGUGACAGAAGCACUGACGAACGCCCUACUCCAGCCUGCACAGUCUUGGAAUUAAAAAUUCAACAACUUGUACUCAGUUUCAGGAGUUUCAGGUGUAAUAUUUUUUUUUUUUCUGAAACAAUAAGUGAUUUUAUUAAUAUUGUGUAAAAACUAUAUAUAUUUAGCGGGCAAAAGUUCAGUUAGAGGCUUAGAGCUAUACAAGUGCACUAUGACACUAAGGGUUAAGCCACUCUUCACCCAAAAAGCAAAAAUAUGCUUAGCUCAUAAUUGCUAAUAUGUGUCAGCUCUAUCACUAACUUCAUUUCUAGACAAAACAAAUGAACAUUUCACGAACAUAGAGCCUAAGCUACUGAUGAUGUCUUCUAAGUGGGAGUAUAAACUCAAUUUUCUAGAGUUCGGGUAUAAAAGAUGUGCCUUCUUGGGCUAAAUGCUUGAUAUUCAUACUUGACCAUAAGAAAUUACUCAUAACUGUUUGAGUUUGACACUGUAACAAAACUUUGAAUCUUGCGAGACUGGCAUUACAGAAUAGGAUAGGUACAAUUUAGCGUCGGUCUGUAUACUGAUCUCGUGUAAUUUUGUGAAUUACCUAUGUAAAAAUUGAUGUAUUACCCAACAAAAAAAUAUUGAUUCAAAUAUGUGUAGAAUUUAUUAGUUUACAUCAUACAGUCUCCACAAAAAAAUAUAAAACUGAAACCUAAGAUAUUUAGCACAACAAAUAAAGUUCGCAUUUUUAGAAAACUCGCACUAGUCCUCUCCCUCCACGUGAUCUCGUUUUAAAUUCUACUUAAGUUGUGCAAUCUGCAGUUAUUUGAUUCAGGGUAAAUUAUACUUUACCCUCUUGUGAUUUAAAACAGUUUUAUACAAUCGUUUUAUGAUUUUAAAAAUUAUACAUAACCUUCUCAUGAUUUGAAUUAUAAUGUCAAAAUGACAAAAAUUCUACUUUGUAACAAAAUAAGCUAAAAUGUCAACAUUACCCACUUUUAGAAGUUGAAAUAGCUAAAGUUGCCAAGGUGUAAAAUGUACUAUAGAAUACACUUUACCCCCCCGGGGUGGUUUAUUGUUUUCUCAUAUAAUUCUCUUAUAAUUUUUUUAAAUUUAUACAUAAUCUCCUAUGAUUAAUAAAUAAUUUUGAUUUUGACAUCAAAUAUUUUUAGUAAUUUAGUAGUAGAGGGCAAGUUCGGUCUUUGACUCCUUAAUCCAAAUUAUGCAGGAGUUGUGUAUAGUUUUUAAAACGAUACGAGGGUUAUGUGAAAAUUUUCAUGUUCAAAGGGAUAAAGUGUAAUUUGCCCUUUGAUUGAAUUGAAGAAUGUAAGGGCUGUGUAGCAGAACUCUGGGCUAUGGCUUUUGGACUUGAGCUAGCAUGGGAACUGAGAUUGAGGAAAGUGACCUUAGAAUCAGAUUCACGGAUGGGAUUGCAGCUGGUGAAAAUAUGCUCCCAAGAUGGCCCUCACUUUAAUCUAAUCCGAAGGAUAAGAGGUGCCAAGAACAGAGAAGGGGGUUGUCAACUGAAGCACACGUGGAGACAGGAAUUGCUGCGCUGACCAUCUAGCGAAAAUCAGCCUGGAUUUAAGCCCGGGAUGGAGGAAGCUUGAAGAACCCCCACCAUCCUUAAGAUCUUUCCUAAGCCAUGAUGUAAUGGGUGUUAGCCAAGCUAGACUAGUCUCUCUGUAGACCCAAAAAAAAAAAAAAAAAAAAAAGAAUCGAAGAAUAUAUAAUUGUCAAAGGAUGCAAUUGGUUGUCCAAAGAAACAAUCUUGGAUCCAACAUAAUUUAAGAGGACAAACCACAAUUCACCCAAGGAAAGAGAUGAGAAUGAUAUCCCAUAUCAAUCUCGAGAUUCUUCAAAUCUCUACCAUGAACUCUGCUGCUUUUUGAUUAAGGAUGAUUCAAAUGAUUCAAUAUGAUAGUCUAUAAGUGAGUACACAGCUUUUCCACACACUGGCGCGUAGAAAUUAUGGUGAUGUACAAAUAAGGUACAUAUUGUUGUAACAACAUGAAAUCUUCACACUACAUUUGUAUUGCUAAUGCUACUUAACCAGUUACGGUAAGGAGAACAAAUUUUCUAAAUAUUCGCUUUCAAGAUUUGGAAAUUGUAAUAAGUUGAUGUCACUCAUAGCAGCUUCUUCCCAAUUUGCCGCUGAAAUCUUUGCAGAUUGAGCAUUGUUGAUGAAAGAGUCCUCAUUUUCGUCCCAUUCUCUUAAUACCCUUUUUCUAGAAUUAGACAUGAUUUCACCACAAGUAACUGAAGCACUUGUAGCAGUAUCAUUAGUCUGACAAGAAGUUGCUGAUGAAUCCAUGUAAUCUUGUGGAAUAGAUUUACACGUUCCCAUGGCUUCCGCAACUGUUUCAAGUGGGAAGUUAAGAUAUGCCUUGGGACCUCUGAUUUUCAGUGCAGCCUUGUCAUAAGCCAUAGCCGCUUCUUCUGCUGUUCCAAAAGUCCCAAGCCAUAGUCUACCUCCUUUUCUUGAUGAAUCUCUUAUUUCAGCUGCAUAUGUGCCCCAUGGCCGCCUUCUCACCCCGCGAUAAUGUCUUGUAACAACCUUCUUGACCUUCAUUUCAUCAGCUCCCGAAUCCAUCUUCUUGCUACUGCAUGUUUCUUGUGAAUCAACAGUCCUUGAUGACUCUGUAUUGUUUGGAAGAUUUGCUCCAUCUAGAGGUUGCUCCCAUGCUUCGGCUCCCAUGGAUAUAAACGUGCCUAAACUUGGAAGCCUUUCUAGUAGUGAUCCGUCUCUGGAAUUUAGUCCAGGCAAGUCAUCCCAUGUUUGGGAAGAUUCAACUGGAUUUUGGUGUGCAUUUUCUAACUCACUCUUGGCUAUAUAAUUAGCCCAAACAUUCUCCAAAAUCGUGGAUUUCUCGUCUUGAGCCAUUCCACUUGAAGCGAAUAUUCUAUUAACUUGAUAAGGCAUAGAGAAACAGAGAAUGAUCAGGGAAUGUUCUCCUCGAUUUGCAUAGCUUUAUAUACAUUGCCUUGGUCUUUGAUUUUGAUGGCUCCACUAGCUACGGUUUAUCCGAGUACAUGAAUAGGUAAUCCAGUAAGAUGCUUGUGCUGCAAAUUAGCUAACUUCAAGGAUGAUACCUGAUACCAGGGUGUAGACAACAAGAAAAGUAGCUGGCUUGAGUUCUUUUAAAUUGAUUGCUGGAAAAGUACUCGUUUGAAUUUGUCAUUCAUUUUAAGUGGAAUAUGCUUAUGGUGUGAUUUCAUGGAUAUCUUCCCUGCACUCAACGGUAAUCGUGAUAUAAGGGAAAAUUUUUUUAAAAAUAUCUCAAAAAAAUGCUUAUACUUGGAAGGUUGUACAGUAGUAUUUGGAAAUAGAUUUGAAUCAUUGUGCUCUUUACAAGCUCUCUGGGAUUACACUAACUCCACGCCACCAGCCUUCAUGGGAAAGAUUUUUAGUAGUAACACUUUUCAGGUUCAUUUGGAUGGUCCAUUUUUUUUUAUUAGAGGAAAAUGGAAGGCCCAAACUCCAAAAACUAAAACUUGGCUCUUUUUUCGAGUUUUUUUUUCUACUCUCCCAUCUCUUUUCACACCCUUUCCACCUCCAAUUAUCAAACACAAUAUUUGAAUUUUGAACCUAACAGUAGAAAAAACUUCAAGAAUCCUUUCCUAGUCGGUGAACCAAUCCUCAGCUUUCAUAUGAGGGAAUAAACAUGCACAAAUACUUAUGAAGCAGCUCAUGCGCAAUUUGUCGGAUUUGAUGGUUUGUGAUUUAUAAUAUAAUUUUUCUUAUUUUGUAAUUUUGUUAAAUAUAAUAAAUUUUCAAAUUAGAUAUAUCCGUAACAUGUUCUAUAUAUUUUUUGUCAUUAGUGCAGUUUUUUCUGUUAGACAAAUCAUAUUGGACGAUAACUAACUAAUUUAUUAAUAAUAUUGACCCCUAUUUUAUUUGAAAAAAAAAAAAGAAGAAAGCAAGGAUAGGGAGAAAGAGAUUUUUUUUUUCUUUUGUCAAAAGGGAGAAAGAGAUUGAUCAUCUGAAAAAUAACAUUUCGAAUGAUUUCAAAUAUAAAAUAGAAUAGGUUACACAACCGUUCGGAUCUCGAAAAAAAAAAAGAAAAAAGAAAAAAGAAUGGCUUCAAUCAACUUCCUCACCGCUUAAAAUAUUACCAGCUUCGAUUCUUUUCCCCGGCACCUUCCUGUAACAUACCUAAACUGUAUCCAACUAGAGAAAAGAGAUCACAAUAAAAUCUUGGGCUGACCGAAAUUUCUUUUGAACUUGGCGAGAUGGGGCAAUCGGAGGAGGCCCUGGUAAAGAUAUGAUCAAAAAAUAUUCGUGUGUCACCACCAAUUAGUCAAAAUUGCUUGCUGGUCAAGGUUAAAAUAUACUAAUUUGUUUGUGUGUGUGAACUUGAAAAAGUCUUUUAUUUCUUCUCAUUUUCGUUUUCUGAAGACUUCAAUACUAUUCUGCAUAAGCAAAGGGAAGACGUUUCCUUGGUGAUACUUCAUCCAGAACAAGACCAAAGAGAAAUGACAAGGAACUAAGGGAUGGAUUUUAAAUUGUAGGCUUCCGUGAUCACGAAGAUUAAAGAUACUUUAGCUAGCAAACAUUCCUACAUCCAUUGGAAUUGCUUGCUUUGAUUCUGUGCAAGAAAAAAACAUUCAUGCAUUGCACUUUUGUGAUUCCAAAACUUAGAUUCCUAAAAGUCCAACUCAAGCUUUGAUGGAACAAAAUUAUUACAACGCAAACAAUCAGCUGUAGCAGAUUGAAGGAUUAAAUUUUAUUAUUAUAUCUGUAUUCUGUAAUUUUUUUUUUUUUUUUAAAAAAUGACAUGCGACAUCAUGUUACUUUUCAGGCCUGAGCUGUUUCGGUUUGAGCCCAGUACAUUUAGAUCUGAAAACUCGAAGCCCGUUUGAAAAUUACCUCAUUCUUUGCCUAUGUAACCCAUGAGUCCAUUGAAUUAGUCCAUUUUAGAAAAGCCUAUAUAACCUGUAUCACAAUCUGUGUUGGCAUUUCCACCAUCCCCAAAGGAUUUUUUUUUUUUUUUGUUGAAAAAAAAAAGUAUUAUAGAGAAGGAAAAAGAAGAAAUGCCAAAAGGAAUAGAAAUGGGAUGGUGACAAUCAGGCCUACGUAUUAAUUGUAGUAACACUAAAUGAUGAAAAUAAGAAGGAAAUUGAAAAAAAAAUAAAAAAAUCAAAGGCAUGGACGGAGCCACAUGUAUCUAGGUGUGGAUAAUUGCCCCCACUUAAAUUUGAGAAAAUCAACUAUUAGGUUUAGAAAUUUUAAAAAACUCUAAAAAUUACUUCUUAUUUGACCCCAUUAAAAUUUAAUGCAUCCUUUUUUCUUAUCUAUAUUGACCCCCCCCCUAAACAAUUAAAAAUUCAUAAUUAUUACCAUCUACGAGGAUUUUGGGACUCGUUAAAAUUAAUUUUCACAUCUAAAUUUAAGAACAAUACGAACUUCAUAACCUAUAUUAAACCUUAAAAAGAGAAACAAAAACAUCCAUUGAUUUAAACCAUCCAUACUAUUACUUCAUUUCAUGUAAUAUUAAAAAUCAACCCUCCCUCCUUACCCUAGGGUCUAAGCUCCGCCACUAAUCAACAGGAUCUCGAGAGAAUGAGUUGAAAAGAAUUCAAAAGUCUUGGUGCGGUUGCUUAAUUUUCAGGAGCACGACGGUUUCAUGCUUUUGCGGCUGUCCAGUUUCCAUGUAUUUAAUGUGGUUGAAGGAAGGCGUAAAAGAUUAAUUCAACAAACCCGCUGUUUUGCAAUUUCUAGUUAAUGUCUUGAUUGACAUUUAAGGUUUUGACUUUUAGAAAAUGAAUUCACUGCAACUCUGUCAAUUAAAUUCAUACUUCCUCUGCCAAUCUUCCAAGUGCAACUUUUGGUACAUGAAGCCAAAAUCAGAGGUUACCUAUGAUGGUCAUGUAAAUCUUUGUUGCACACGAAAAAUGAAGACUCCAAAAUGCACACGUAAAUCUUUGUUGCACAACAAAAUUGUGAAUGUGUAUAUUCCUAACCAACUCCAUUAUGACAAGUAUUUUUUUCUCCAAAAAAAAAAAAGAAAAAUAAAUGUACGAAUAUGUCGAACUCCUUUAUUUGUUGGACAUCUCGUUGUGACCAUAAAUAGGAUAACUAACCCCAACUCCUUUCGUGUCAGAUUGUUGCGGUAGCAAUAAGCGCUCGAAAAUGAAUUCUCCAUAUGGGUUUUGGCUGCCUCUUCUCAUUUGCUAUUCUCUGGUAUUCUUUUCAGCAAAUACCAUCGAAGCUGAAACAAAAUCAAGAAAGCUUCGGGAGCUGAUCUCCAAGAAUUCCAUUUCAUCUGUUGUUGUCUUUGGUGACUCCACAGUGGACCCUGGAAAUAAUGACUAUAUAGGAACUGCUUUUAAGAGCAACUUCCCACCUUAUGGGGAGGACUUCUUUGGCCACAUUCCUACCGGGCGAUUCAGCGAUGGACGGCUUGUUACUGACUAUUUGGGUAAGUUUUCCGGCUUCCCUUUACCUGCUUUUUUCUCCCUUUGCACCACAUUAUGGAGUCUGUUAACUACUUGUGGCUUUUGUUUGAGAUUGUUUAGCUGAAUAUGUGGGGUUAAAAGAAACAAUUCCGCCAUAUUUGGACCCAACACUUAGCGUGGAGGAGCUCAUAACCGGAGUCAGUUUUGCUUCUGCGGGGUCCGGAUUCGACCCUCUUACAGCUAAACUAAGUGUACGUCUGGCUCUCAUUCUCUUGCGUGUGUCUCCGAGAUUUUUCUUCCCGUUCCAUGACAGUUUUACAAUAAUGAAGGAGUAAUUGUGUAAUUGGUACUCCUGUUCUGCUAGGAUUGGUUUCGGAUUUGCAUGGCAGAAAAGUGGCUCACUCAUAAAUCCACAAAAUAAUCUUGAACAGAUUUUGUGAUUCAUGUUUGGACAAAAUUAAUAAAAAGGAGUACCUUUUUUUAAGGUGUGAUGUAUGUACGCUUAAAAAAAUAAUUGAAAAUUGUGUUAAAAGAAUGUUUUCACAAAACCUGUUUUAUGUUUGUACAAAAGAAGCAGCAGUUCAGACAAGACCAAAAUCGUAGUAGUAGUGAUCCAGUAUCAGGUAUGACCGUGCAGAGUAGUUCAUUUCUUUAAUUAUUCUGCAACCAUUGAGUUCUGACCAUAAAUACAGCGUUUGUCAUAUUUCGUCACAUCUCCAUUGUCCACCUUGAUAAUUAUUGAUCUACUGGUGAUAUUUCCUGCUUCGGUAUGUAGCAAAUAUGUACGUGUGAUGAUGACCGUAAUCGAAUCCAUUCAAACGUUUUUACAUAAAAAAAAAUAGUAAAUAUGCAGAAAUUCUAUAAUAGGCUAUCCACGUUGAACUAUCGCAUUAUAACUAUACUCUCUCUCUCACAUACACACAAGAAAAAAGAACCUGCUAGUCUUCAUCCCUAUAUUUGGAGUUCCAAUUGACGAGGGGCAAUUUAAAAUAGAAUUACUCACAAAUAAUGGAUUUAAAUCAAACGUGCUCUAAAAGUGCAUGUGAUAAAAUUUGAAUCUUCAUAUAGCCCCGUCAUGAAUUGUAUAAAUAUUCACUUUACUCCCUGUGAUUUUUGCAUUUAUCCACGUAAUUCCUCUAUGUUCUUAUACAAGGUAAUUAAGCCGUCGAUUGAUUUAGCAUUUAAGUAAGGAUACUAUUGAUAUUUCAAUUAACAACGUUAUAUAUGUUAAUUUUCGUCAAGUUUCCACUUUAUAUAAAAUCAUAGGGGAUGAAGUGGACAAUUUGAAACGUUAGAGGGGUUAUGUGGUAAUAGAUGAAACCACAUGGGGCCAGGCUACAUGUUACUUACCCUAUUAUUUACUUUGUGCUCUUUGAUAAAAUGCAAUAGUUUAAGGUGACAUAGUUUCCUUCUUUGCCGCUUCCAGUAAUUAAAAAAAAUUGCAAGAAAAUUCUUGGCUGUGCACCUCCUGAGACACUUAAACUGUGUAGAGUCGAGUAACACUAAUCACUAAUUAGAAUCAACGUCUCAGAAGCUAUAGUUAACACGUUAUGUAUUGUUGCAGAAUCCCAGAAGCAAGAACAAGUAAUAACGUAAGAGAUUGUCAAAGGAACUACAAUCUAAUAUCGUAUUGGUGCUUUUAUAACGUGCUAAAUGUGGCACCUGCACACAAUUAUGUACACGAAUACGUACACAUUCGUACUUGUAGGUAUUUUUGGACUCUUGGGCAUUAGGAUAUCUUUGAGUUACUGGUAAAGAUGAUCUGCUUUUACACUCUUUUUUGGUAGUUUGGUUGUUUUGCUGGAAAUUUUCUUGAUAAGAAAGGCCAAUUCCUUGUGACUUUAAGCAUGCAUAUUUGCAGGAAUAAGUUUUAACUAGUAACUGUAAAUUCUAAAAACCAGGUGAUGAUGCUUCACCAAUAAUAGUCCUUUUGAACAUACGUACGUUAUGGACAUGCCAUAAUGUAAACCAGUUGCUUUACAGAAAUUAUUACCUUUCUGGUAUAAUAAAUUAAUAAUGUACGUAGAUCGAGUAGCAGAAAGACACUUCAUCUGUAAUUAAAGAAAGAAAGAAAAAACUUAAAUCAGUCAUGUAGAAGUUACUCCAAUUAUAUUUCCUGAAAAAGUAGUUCAAUUAGUUUGGUAUGUUUUAUGAUGUGGCAGGGUGUAAUUCCAAUGCAGCAGCAACUAAAUUAUUUCAGAGAAUACAAAGCAAGAAUUGAAAAAGCCAUUGGAGAGAAGAAAGCAAAAGAGCUGAUUAACAAGGCCGCCUUUCUAAUAAGCUGCGGCACAAACGACUACGUGGUCAAUUACUUCAAUGACCCGAUUAUGCAAAUUAACUACACGGUCUCAGCUUACCAGAAGUUCUUGUUAGACAAUGCCCACCAACUUCUCAAGGUUAGUCUUCUAAAUCUUUUCAUUAUUAAGCAUGCAUGCCAAUUAUUCUAAACCUUGUAACUGCAAAAAUUCCUAGGAUUAUUUAAUUAGUGGGUUCGCAGCUUAUGACUAUAUAUAAAUUGUGGCCUAAAAAGGGGAAAAAAACUAUGAAAGUAUGUAGAUAUUGUAGCCCAAGUGGUAGAUAUGUAGGGCCUGACGAAGUCAUGCUCUGAUUUCUAACUUUACACCCCCAGUAAUGAAGAUGGCACCGGAAUUUAUUUUUUAAAGUAAAUUGAAGAAAAAAUCAUUGAUUAGGAUUUAGGGAAAAUGUUAAAGAAACUUUCUAAGACAGAUAAUCCCUUAAUGAGUUAUUUGGUUGGAUUUCUCUUCUUCUUUUUUUUUUUUUUGGACACAAUAGAUUCUAGUUAACGCCUACUCCUACUCUCUAUUUGGGAGAAAGGGGAAUCCAAAGUAGGGCUGUCAACGGGCCGGAUCCGGGCCGGAAUUCAUUAUUCCGGACCCAGACUCGAAUUACUAUGUCGGAUCCGGACCCGACCCGUUUAUCCGACGGGUCUUUUAUUCUACGUUCCGGAUCCGGAUCCGGCGGUCCCGGAUCCGGAUCCUGGUCUACCCGAACAAAUUUACCAAAUUUUAUAAUUUCUAAUAAAAAUGAGAAAAAAAUAUAUUUGUAAACUAAUUUCUAACUAAUGCAAAGAAAAAAUCAAAUAAGAAAAGAAAUCAAAUUAAUUUUAUUAAAAUACAUCACCCUAAUCAAAUUAUAUUGAUAAAUAUAUAUUUUUUAAAUUAUUAAUUCAUUUAUAUCCGGAUCCGGGUCUAAUACGGGUUGGAAUACUAUAUUCCGUAUCCGACCCGUUUUUUUGUUUGACAAAACGGAUCCGGGAAACGGAAUUAAAUCCCUACCCAUACCCGCAAUAAUUUCACGGAUCCGGUCCGGAUCCGGGUCUAGACCCGACCCGUUGACAGGCCUAAUCCAAAGGAAUAAAGGGAAGAGAAUUUGGAGGAAACUGAAUUGUAACCAGACCAGUCAAACUAGUGAAAAUUUUAGAAUGCAAGUUAAGGGAUUUGAUUUCUUAACCUAUAUCCAGAAGAAUAUUAAAAUCUCUUUCUAGUAUUCAGCUACUCUAUAAGUGGUUGGUUAAAAUACGGUUGGAUUUCAGGUUACUAAAAAUAUUUAAGGGCAUGCUGACACUUUCAACAAACAUUUAUUUUGCAUUAGUUUCGUCCAGGCUGUCCUACUGGGUUCCGUACACACAAUGUGGAGCUUCGUGGUGAGUUUUCCACCAUGGCCACCGCAGCCUCGUCCCUCUCAGCCCCUCUUUUUGCGAAUGUGGUUAUUUUUGUCCCAGCCAUCUUUGAAGUUUCGGGUGAAAUUGAAUUUUUCAACAAAUAGACUAAUUUUUAAUAUUUUUUGUCUCACAUAUAUUAUAUUAUUAAAAUUAACAUGUAAUCAGAUAAUCUUUCAUCUAAAGUUUAACCACAUUAUUAAUUUAUGGUCAUAGAAAAAAGAAUAAGAUCAAUGGUUAACUGGGGAAGGAUUGGUUGGGUGUUACGAGGGGAGGACGAUAAGUAAGAAGUCCUAUAUUCAAAAUCUCCCACUUACAAAAAAAAAAAA